UUGCACUUGUUGCGUGGAUUGAGAGAAGCCCUGUUCAUGGAUUCUCAUAAUGAAGCAACGGUGCAUAGAGAGAAAGUCCGAUUACUAUUUCAAAGUAGUAAUUUGGGCAGCGGCCAGACAACCGUAGAGAUGCUUUCCACAGAUGACGGGUCAUUCGUCCCGCUUUUGUCUACUGAUUCCAUCUCACAUUU
rfam:Vitis vinifera, whole genome shotgun sequence of line PN40024, unoriented chromosome 13, chr13